AGCAUCCUGGAAACUUGUACAUCAGGAACGUCUUUAGAGCCUGUCUGACAGUACCAGUAGAAAGUUUCUUACCUGAGCUUAUUUCCACCUACUUGUCCCAGAUGAUGUCUUACACUUCUUCCGACAUACAGAUGAAACAAUUCUCACCAUUUCCUCUGCUCUUUUCUGGGCAUUAUUUGGUUUUUGAGCUCUUGGAAAGCAAUGAGCAGAGCUGAACAUGGGACUCCAUUAUCUUCUAACUGAUACUGAACUGAAAUCUCCAAACCUGUGAAUACAACCUGAGACCAGGUUCUCCUGAUCCAUUAUUUCCCUCAUGCCAGGACCUCAGUGUUUAGCCUGCAUCCUAUUCAAGCAUCUGCAACAUACUCCCACCACUCUUCCCCCUGACUUCUUUCUCCAG